rnacentral:lncRNA from 1 species
GUAAGAAUCAAACAACUUGCUUUGUGUUCUCAAAAAUAGAAGUACUGUACAUUAGCUGAACUUUUUAAUAAUUUUGUUAGGGACAUUGCUGACAGAUUUUGGAACUAGGAGUAGAAAUGAGUUAUACAGAUCACUAUCAUAAGUUGCAUCAAUCAUUAACUUGUAAUAUUCACAAAUCAUAUUUACACAAAUGAAAUACAAGACUAUGAAAACAUUACAUUACUUAGGGGGAUUCCAUGGUAACAGAGUGAUGGUGUGCUGGAGUCAGAGCAGUUCCCCAGCAGCUGCAACCCACUCCAUAAUCAAGACCUCUACAAAUACUCAGUCCUGCCACUUCCACUCUACCAGAUCGUAAUCUCUGUUCAGUCAGUAUACGGGUCUAGCUAGUUGUUGUUAUUUAAGAUCCUGUAUCCUGCUGUGCCUAUUACCUUGCCUGACGCUGUUUCUACUCUCACUGCAGUUUUGCCUCUCUGACUCUGGUUCCUGUCUCCUGUUCCACAUCUCACCACCCUGCUACCCUGUUCUGGACUCACCACACCACCACUCCCUUGGAUUCCCCUCCGGACCUGUUUACCCUGUCCCAACCCAGCUCACUCCAACCUCAGCCUCCACAUCUGGUUUCCUACAACUCUUCAGAGCUUCCCUGGAUCUG